rnacentral:rRNA from 1 species
UACGAAGGGUGCAAGCGUUACUCGGAAUUACUGGGCGUAAAGCGCACGUAGGCGGCUUGUUAAGUCGGAGGUGAAAUCCUGGAGCUCAACUCCAGAACUGCCUUCGAUACUGGCGAGCUCGAGUCCGGGAGAGGUGAGUGGAACUGCGAGUGUAGAGGUGAAAUUCGUAGAUAUUCGCAAGAACACCAGUGGCGAAGGCGGCUCACUGGCCCGGUACUGACGCUGAGGUGCGAAAGCGUGGGGAGCAAACAGG